UGGAGAAGCAGGGCACGCUCAGCAGAUGCGGCAGUUUCAAAAAGGAAUGAGAGUGGUCACCUGCGGCUUCCGACUCUGGCCUCCUAUGCUUAUACUCGGUACACGA
rnacentral:miRNA from 1 species